GAAUCCCGUCUUUGGCACGGACACACCAGGGCUUUUGUGAUGCGCUCUCGAAGAGUCGAGUUGUUUGGGAAUGCAGCUCAAAAUGGGUGGUGAACUCCAUCUAAAGCUAAAUAUUGGCGAGAGACCGAUAGCGAACAAGUACCGUGAGGGAAAGAUGAAAAGCACUUUGGAAAGAGAGUGAAACAGUACGUGAAAUUGUUGAAAGGGAAACGCUUGAAGUCAGUCGCGUCGACCGAGACUCAGCCUUGCCCUUGGCUUGGUGUACUUCUCGGCUGACGGGUCAGCAUCAAUUUUGCCCCUUGGAUAAUGGCGAGGGAAAUGUGACACCUUUACGGUGUGUUAUAGUCUCUUGUCGCAUGCAAGGGUUGGGAUUGAGGAACUCAGCACGCACCUUUGGGUGUCGGGGCUUUGCCCACGAUACGUGCUUAGGAUGUUGGCGUAAUGGCUUUAAACGACCCGUCUUGAAACACGGACCAAGGAGUCUAACAUGCCUGCGAGUGUUCGGGUGGAAAACUCGUGCGCGCAAUGAAAGUGAAAGUUGGGACCUCUGUCGUGGAGGGCACCGACGCCCGGACCAGACCUUCUGUGACGGCUCUGCGGUAAAGCAUGUAUGUUAGGACCCGAAAGAUGGUGAACUAUGCCUGAAUAGGGUGAAGCCAGAGGAAACUCUGGUGGAGGCUCGUAGCGAUUCUGACGUGCAAAUCGAUCGUCAAAUUUGGGUAUAGGGGCGAAAGACUAAUCGAACCAUCUAGUAGCUGGUUCCUGCC
rnacentral:rRNA from 1 species